rnacentral:snRNA from 1 species
CCAAAAAAAGAGAUUAGCAUGGCCCCUGCGCAAGGAUGACACGCAAAUUUGUGAAGCGUUCCAUAAACAA